rnacentral:SRP_RNA from 1 species
GCUGGGCAUGGUGGUGCAUGCCUGUAAUCCCAGCUACUCAGGAGGCUGAGGCAGGAGAAUCGCUUGAACCCAGGAGGUGGAGGUUGCAGUAAGCUGAGAUUGAGCCACUGUACUCCAGCCUGGGUGACACAGUGAGACCCUGUUUCGA